UCAUAGCGGAGGAAAGAAACCAACAGGGAUUGCCCUAGUAACGGCGAGUGAAGCGGCAACAGCUCAAAUUUGAAAUCUGGCCCCCUCGGGGUCCGAGUUGUAAUUUGCAGAGGGAGCUUUUGGCGUCGGUCGUGGUCUAAGUUCCUUGGAACAGGACGUCACAGAGGGUGAGAAUCCCGUACGUGGCCGCCGGCCUUCGCCUUGUAAAGCCCCUUCGACGAGUCGAGUUGUUUGGGAAUGCAGCUCUAAAUGGGAGGUAAAUUUCUUCUAAAGCUAAAUACCCGCCAGAGACCGAUAGCGCACAAGUAGAGUGAUCGAAAGAUGAAAAGCACUUUGGAAAGAGAGUGAAAAAGCACGUGAAAUUGUUGAAAGGGAAGCGCUUGCGGCCAGACUUGCCCGCGGUUGAUCAUCCAGGCUCCGGCCUGGUGCACUCCUCCGCGGGCAGGCCAGCAUCAGUUCGGGCGGUCGGAUAAAGGCCUCUAUCACGUACCACCCCUCGGGGUGGCCUUAUAGGGGAGGCGCAACACGGCCAGCCCGGACUGAGGUUCCGCGCAUCUGCUAGGAUGCUGGCGUAAUGGCAGCAAGCGGCCCGUCUUGAAACACGGACCAAGGAGUCUAACAUCUAUGCGAGUGUUUGGGUGUCAAGCCCGAGCGCGCAAUGAAAGUGAACGGAGGUGGGAACCCUUACCGGUGCACCAUCGACCGAUCCUGAUGUCUUCGGAUGGAUUUGAGUAAGAGCAUAGCUGUUGGGACCCGAAAGAUGGUGAACUAUGCCUGAAUAGGGUGAAGCCAGAGGAAACUCUGGUGGAGGCUCGCAGCGGUUCUGACGUGCAAAUCGAUCGUCAAAUUUGGGCAUA
rnacentral:rRNA from 1 species